GCCUCUACCCGUUUUUAAGUUUAGAUUCAUAGGAGUUCCCAUGUAUGAUGGUGCUCCCGUUUUAAUAUUGCCAAUCGUAACUUUCACGUCGUCAUCAUCACUGUCACUAUCACUGUCUUCUUCAUCAUCUUCUCCACUUGGAAGGGCAUGCUGUGACACCUCUCGGUCUUCGCUGCCGACGGGCCGGUUCUCCUGAGGAGCAUCUUGCAGAGGAUGAGAAGAUUCUGCAUGUCCAGAAGUUGGUCCGUCUUCUUGCUUACCAGUGGUGUCAUCGCCGUACAGCCAGUGCUCCUCGUCCUCCUCCGCCUCCAGCGGCGCCCCGCCCGACACGGCCCCGGCCGCCGGCGGCUCCAGCUCGGUGGCCAUGGCCGAGGGGGGGGAGGAGGAGGAGGAGAAGCGGCGUCCGCGGCGGCGGCCUCCCGGGCCCCGCUCGGCUCCCGCCGCGGCCUGAGGCGAGGCGCGCGCCCGCUGCGCUCGGCACGGGGCGGGGAGGGCCGCAGCCGCCGGGCCGGGCCGCGCCGAGGACGCCCGGCUAGCGCGCCGCCAUUGCUCUUUCUUUGCCUCCCGCGGGAGGUGGGGAGGGGACGGGAUGGGACGGGACCCCCGGCGGGAGCGGAGGCGGCCCCCGGCCCUAGCGCCACCCGCUCCCGCCGCCACAAAGGCGCCGCGCAGCGGGACGGCCACCACGCAUGCGCGGGGCGGGAGCGCAUGCGCCGAAGGAGAGAGGGGAGCGCCCGACGCGCCGCUUCGCGCCUCGCCGGGCCCACCUGAGGGCGGGGGGAGGCUCCGCUUUCUGCUCUCGGCGUUAAUCGCGCGGCCCGGCUGUAUCUCCGUGCGAAUGAUGGCAGCGCCUUCUGGGCGGGACCUGCGAGGCGCUCGCCCGCUGCAACGCUACGGAACGGCAGCCGGAACGCAGCUCGCCUCGCUCCCGCGCUGAGGUACGGCGAGAAGGUUCCGAGAGGCGUCCUUUCCUCUGGAAAGGUGGAAGCGACUAAAGAGAGAGUCCGACAUUUGUACGCGGAUUGGCUAUGAAUCAGAAAUACAAUACAGCCAUUAAGGAGACAAAUGGGAUCCUUUAAUGAGUCACGUUAUUCUAACGAAGAGAGAACCAUCUGCGUUGUUAGACCUGGCGUGACACUAGAGAUGUUACUGCCCUUAUCUCCAAUACGGGAUUGUUAUGGUUACCCGUAGUGAAGGAAAAUUAAUUCAAACACAGUACAGACAAACGUAAAGCAAGCACGAUGAUCCGAAAGAGAAAAAUUUGCUUUUGAAAGAAGGCCACCAUUUAGUUUAGCAACUGAAGGCUAAGAUUUAAAUAUCUAUAAAAUCUCACAAAAAAAACUAAACUCAGCUGGAACAUUCCAACGGCUUAUGAUACAAUACUGACAGCAAUGCUGAUACAAACCAUGUAUAAAAUGAUAAAUAUGUUGGCAGGUACAUUUUGGCAAGCUUCCUUAGUGCAGAGUCCAAGAGUAGAAUAAGGGGCAAAAUCCCAAGUGUUCUUAAAAUGGACCUUUGCAAUAGCCCAGGCAAUCACAUCUCAUAACCCCUCACGGGAUUAAUACCGCGGCUCAGCCAAACGCUCCUAUAUUUGGCAUAACAAGAAAGGAACAUUCUCUACAUUUCUCAAAUAACAGUCAGUAGCAGUUGCAUGCCUAAACAGCACGUCGACCCAGGUGCUCCUGGAUUUGCCCAAAACAACUGAGGACAUCAGUUUUCAACAAAAAACACUGCACGUGCCUAUUGGGAACAUGGUGUUUUCCCCCCAGGGAUGAACCGAAGGCUUUAAUUUUAAGCCUUGCUUUCACAGCUACAAAGUUAGCCUGCUAACACACACAAAAGGCUGCAUUGUCCUCCGGUCACGGUGCACUACGUGAGCCAAUGAUUUAUUUCACGAACACGCUAUCCAUGCUCAGGUUAGGCUCCCUCUGCAGUGCUACUGCAAUAGAAUAGGAAAAAAAACUUCUGCUCUUCUCCGCUCUCUGAACUCUGCAUCACUGCACUCCAGUAGUGAUAGAGCAUCUGCAAUGAAAAGGAAGGCUGCAGCAAGAGAAUUCCAUAAAUUUCCUCUAUAUAGAGGGUCUGCACGCCAGCUGAGAGAAGUUACAUGGAAGACUAAAUGUGAUGUUCAUUCUAGAAUUCUGUUUUUGGGAAAGCCUUGCUAAGUUUUCCAAGCGUUGUCCUUUCAACCACACAAACCAUAGUGGGAGUCCCACUGCUCUGCGUUAGAAAUGUGUCUCACAUAAAGGAAACCACUGACUGCCAUUGCGUUCACACAGUGCUGCAGGGAGACACAAACCACUUUGCUUCCAGAAACACACGGCACUAUUCAGAGGUUUUCGUCUUUAAAUUUAAUUAAAGAAAAAUGUCUCAUAGUGAUUAAGCAUGUCUGACUUCCAACUUCUUUAAACGGCACAAGCCUAUGCAGUAAAAUGUAGAAAUAGAGCUCAGAAUUAUAUUUUAAAAAGAAAAAAAAAAAAAAGAACUUUCAAAGUGUGAGGUCCUAUUAAAAAAGUGGCUGCUCACUUGUAAACGGAAUAAAAAUGUUAAGAAGACAAUUUAAAAAGUUUCAUACACCUGAAACAAAACCACUUUCCGUAAGCCAUACAAGUAACAUUACAGCAUCAUAAGAACAGCAAGAGCAGGAGAAAAUGGCAGAGGAAUCACACGACGUUACUUACUGAAGUAAUAACUUAUUUACAGUGAAUUUUAAUAGCUUGACAUUUUUAUUGCUCUGAUGGUAGUGUGUUGACAAGUAAACAUAGUGAAUUGUCAUAGUGGGACACUAAUAUGCGUAUAUUUACAGUUUUGCAUACACUGUUUUUUUUUUUUUGUACCUAUUAAGAAAAGUAUAGGGACCUUUGUCCCUCAGUCAAUACCACUCCAGAUUUUAGCAAAAUUGUUCCCUUUUGUCAGGUUAUUCACCUACAACUGAGUCCACAUUUCCUAGGCUUGCCUGUGCAUGUUCUAAAAUAUAUCCUUCCUCCUGUGAUGGUAAAAGAACUUCACAAGAAGCGGGUGGGGAAUUGUAGGUAAGAGCUCAUCAGUAUUCUUUAAUGCUCCUCACAUACAAAAACUUUCUAAUUAAAAAAAAACAAACAAACAGGCAUUUCACACAUACAAGUUAAAAACAUCAACAUGUUUAUAUGGGAAACUGAACACUGCUUAGACAGAUGAUAUUCCUGUAAGAGCUUUAUAAAAAUUGCUGCAAACUCACACCACACACUGCUACUAGUUUUCCCUUUCCUCCUUUCUUGCUGCACGUUUUCAUUUAGUUGAAACCAGUCAAGGCACUGUCUCACCAUUUCUCUUACACUUUGCUCACGUCAGUCUGUUACAUUGCUACGCGUGCUUUCUCCAAUUAACAAGUAUCCUCUAUAAACAGGCUUACCAUUUCGUGCUCAUUUUUUAUUGUCAAAAACGAGUUCUCCAGUCUUAUGAGAUACAAACUACCUGCCGGAUGUUUCUAUGUUAAAGCAAAGGAUGGCCUAGGCAAAAGAGAACCUGUAGGCAUUAAAGUUCACAGCAGCAUUUACAGUUGCUUUCAUCUUUAAAUGAGCUAUUAAACCUGUCUUACAGAUGCCAAUGUAAUACUGCAUGCUGUUUUUGUAUUUUAAUGUGAAAUUAUCUUCCUAUUAAAACAUGGAGCUUGCUGUAAAUUUGUUUCAGCUCUCAUACUCUACUAGUUGCUUUAUGGCCACAUUUUUAAGUGCCUAUUAAAACAUAAAAGGAAAAGACCCUUUCAUGGUCUGAAUACAAUUAAUAAUUUAGGACAAAGCAAAGUGUACAGAAUUUAUGUACUUGAAAUGUAAACUUUUAAAAUAAAUACUCUGUGCUGAAGUGGGAAACUCAGGGUAUUCCCUCUGCUUGGCACAGCAUUUCACUGAAACAAGACAGACCAGCUGAAAAAUUCUCAACUCCAUCGAAUGCAAUCAGCACAGACUCAGCAGAGGACUUCUGCUCGCAGUGAGACGGAGGGCUGCUGAGCACUGAGCACUGGCAGCUACUGAACCUCUCGCUCACCUCUUCUCUCAGUUGGAAAAAAACACUUUGAAAAUACAGUCACACAAAAGCAAAAAUUAAGAACCUUCUGAGAUUUCUUGGGUUUCUUACACAAGAGGAUAGCUAGCAAAGUUCUGGCAUUACUGUAAGAAGCUUCUAUUGUUCUGUCCAGCUAAGCUCCCUUCACUUAUACCACAGACACGUAUUUCUAAGGCAAACCGACUGUGCUAUGUCAAUUUUGCUCUUCACUGUUUCUUUCUGCCAUUAAGUAUUUUCUCUGCUUCCAGUUAACACUCAUCCUAAAAAAAAUAAAGUAAAAUAAAAUGAAGAGAAUACUCCGCACAGUUCUAUGACAGGAAUCUGAAUUGCAUGGUGUAGCUCAGGUUAAAUUCACACAACGCUGCAGUUCAUUCAUUAAAUUAAAUUACAAAUUCAAUUGAUCCGUUAGUCAUUACCAAUUUACUGGUCCAACAGAACCUCUGCACCAACCAUACAGAUUUCAGAGCCUGAAGCAUCAGUGUGAGAUCAGGAACCACUGCAAGCGCUGGAAUCAGACACUCAGCUGUACAGUUAGAAGAGCAAGACAUUUGAUUCCAAGUAACAACUCACACAAAACUGGCCUUCUGUAAACACUGUAUACUGGGUAUCUGGCCCAUUACAGCUGUUAGAAUGUAAUGACUUUACUAAUACUGUAUUUUAAUACAAUAUUGCACACUGAAGAGAUGCAAAUACAUUCAGAGGAAGUUCUAAGUCAGUCUGAAACUAAAAAGCAACCUGUGAUGCUGCAAGGAGUCAAGUCGCUGCAAAGAAAUGCCUGUAGACAUUUAUGACUAUAUUCAUCACAACUUGCAGAUAAUCAGUUAUCUGGUAUUUUUUUCUCUUAUUUCUAGUUAGGAAGGGGGAGAGGGUAGAGAAACAAUGCACUGUCAAUUGCUUCUUUCUUUCACUUGCUAUCAGCAAAUGGUCUUGCUUAGGCCAGGCAUUACAGUAAGUUCUUCUAUAGUCACUUCCCUUCCUGACAUCAGGCGAACAGGGAGGAGUCCAGAAAUACUUCUGAAUUCCACAAGGCAUUUGUGGCUCUUCAGACUGUUCCUGAAUGCCAAAACAUACACACGAGCCCAUUCAACUGAUCUACUUCCUCCCAUCAGCACAUUCCAAAAUACUGCUCUGAUUUACACAAAAAGUAUUUCCGCUAGAAAGGGAUGCCCUAUCAUUUAACUGUUACAGUGCUGAAGUACUGUCGUGCUAAAAAAUAUUCACCGUUACUUCAACUUUCAUUUGGCUGUUGCAAAUUCUUCUCCUUAGUAAUGAC
rnacentral:lncRNA from 1 species